GGGCCGUUGGCUCAGUUGGCUAGAGCGCGUCAUUUGCAAUGACGAGGCCGAGGGUUCGAGUCCCUCACGGUCCA
rnacentral:tRNA from 1 species